ACGUAGGGUGCAAGCGUUGUCCGGAAUUAUUGGGCGUAAAGAGCUCGUAGGCGGCUUGUCGCGUCUGCUGUGAAAUCCCGGGGCUCAACCCCGGGCCUGCAGUGGGUACGGGCAGGCUAGAGUGCGGUAGGGGAGAUUGGAAUUCCUGGUGUAGCGGUGGAAUGCGCAGAUAUCAGGAGGAACACCGAUGGCGAAGGCAGAUCUCUGGGCCGUAACUGACGCUGAGGAGCGAAAGCAUGGGGAGCGAACAGGA
rnacentral:rRNA from 1 species